CCUACGGGGGGCAGCAGUGGGGAAUAUUGCGCAAUGGGCGAAAGCCUGACGCAGCGACGCCGCGUGAGGGAUGAAGGUCUUCGGAUCGUAAACCUCUGUCAGCAGGGAAGAACGGUCACUGUGCUAAUCAGCAGUGAAUUGACGGUACCUGCAACGGAAGCACCGGCUAACUCCGUGCCAGCAGCCGCGGUAAUACGGAGGGUGCGAGCGUUAAUCGGAAUUACUGGGCGUAAAGCGCUCGUAGGCGGGAUGUCAAGGCAAGGGUGAAAUCCCCGCGCGCAACGUGGGAACUGCCUUUGAAACUGGCAAACUGGAGUGUGUGAGAGGAUAGUGGAAUGCCAGGUGUAGGAGUGAAAUGCGUAGAUAUCUGGAGGAACAUCAGUGGCGAAGGCGACUAUCUGGCACAUAACUGACGCUGAGGAGCGAAAGCGUGGGUAGCGAACAGGAUUAGAUACCCCUGUAGUC
rnacentral:rRNA from 1 species